rnacentral:rRNA from 1 species
GAUCAACGCUGGCGGCGUGCCUAACACAUGCAAGUCGAACGCGAAAGCCCGCAAGGGUAAGUAGAGUGGCGCACGGGUGAGUAACACGUGGACAACCUGCCUUCGAGUGGGGAAUAACCUUCCGAAAGGAGGGCUAAUACCGCAUAACACCUCGGGACACAAGUUUUGGGGUUGAAAAGAGCAAUUUGCUCGAAGAGGGGUCCGCGCCUGAUUAGCUAGU